AAUCCCACAGUUGCUCAAAACAUGCCAAGCUUUGAAAAUUCUGGAAACAAGCCAACCUUUGCCCCCUAUUUUCUCAAAAUAGUCCUUUUACCGGUUUUAAAAAUUAUUAACUAGUUUUAGAAGGUGACUUUCCACAUGUCACCUUCUAAUUGGUUUUUAUCUUAAAUUAAUUAUUUUGGAAAAAAAUUAAUAAUAAAAAAAAGCCCUCUGCUCUCCUUUCUCGUUCCCCAUCCCUGCGCUUCCCCGAUCCCACUGAACCAGCUUCUUUUCACCGCCGCUGCGCCGCCACUUUCUCCUCUCUCUUGCAAAUUUUUUUAGAUUCGGUUGUUUGGGUUGUUUUUGGUGAUGGUUAGGGUUGAUUUUCGUAUGGUAAAGGUUGUUUAUGGAGAUUAAUAAAGAGGUUUUGGGGGUGGAUGAAGAUUUGAAGCUUUCAUUGCUUCCUUAUUCUUUCAAAUCAUACUUCGUAGGAAUUUCAAUUAAUGAACUGCAUUAGCAUGAAAAAUUGAAUGAUUUUGGUUCCUUUGUUAGGUUGGAUUUUUUAAUCAGAUUUUUGGGUUGUUUUUGCUUUCAUUCUUUAGACUAUGUGUUUGGGUGUGUUUCAAUUGGGUGGUUUCGGUACUGGGGUUUGGGUUUUACGGUGGUUUUGAAGGUUGGGGUUUUGGGUUUUAGGAAGUUUUGAGGUAGGGGAGUAGGAAAAGGGUGGUUUUCUAGGGUGGGGGAAGUAAAGGGUGGGUCGGGUAUGGGUGGUUUUGGGUCAGGCGUGGGAUAGUUGGUAGUGCAGGUGGUGUUUUACAAGGUGGGUUCCAUGGAAGAGGGUGGUGAGUGGGAGGAGAAAGAUCGAUUAAAGAAAAAAAAAAAAUUAAAAAUUAACCUUGUUUUGAGAAAAUAAGGGGCAAAUGUUUCAAAGCUUGGCUUGUUUUGAGUAGGUUAAGCAAAGGUAGAAAAUUGUAUAGAUGUAAGCUUGAAAUAGAAUUGGUAUAUAUUUAACAUACAAAACAAACAUUAUCCUGAAGUGGUAAAUGACCUUUCAAGAUUUUGUAAAAGGAAACAUGUUUCAUUAAAAAAGCAGACAAAAAGGAAGAAAGAAGAAGUUGAUCAUGAAGCAAAAAAAAAAAAAAAACAUUGCUGGAGAAAGAACAGAAAAAACGGAAGAAUGUAGAAGAUAAUAAGUAGUGUACAUACAUAUGUAUUGUACAAUUUUUACCCUAACACUACUUCAAAAAGCGUACUUUUUGGACGCUUUUGGUUCGACGCUUUUGAUGUGGCGUCAGCGUAUGAUUUUUGGUACCGCCUUUUCUCGACGCUUUUUAAUGUCGAAGAUUGUCCCGACACAUAAAAGCGUCGGGAAAAACACGUGCUAUGCACGUGAGUUAUUGUUUUCACAAUUUUGAAAUUUUUAAUGAAAAUAAUAGCGGGUUGUAUUUUCCCCAUAUUCCCAAUUAAACCGCCCACAUUCUGCUUAAUUGCUUAAUUUCUCAUCGAUCAGCGACAAAAGAAUUUUCACAAUUUUGCUUGCUUUCUUCAAGGAAUUUGUGGGUUUUUUGCUCAUCACUUUCAAUAAUUUCAGGUAUCAACUUACAAUUUGCUAUACAAUAUUGAUGCUAGGUAUAUAUCUAUCGUUUUUGGUACCCUAAUAUCUCACAAUUCUCUAAAUUUCGUUUAUAUUGGGCAUUAUUCUUUGCAUGUUUUCGAUUUUGAGUUGGUGUAGAACAAGAAUCGAUCUCUUAUUGCGAGCCUUUUUCAGUAGCUUGAAACACACAGAUUGUAUGAUCUUACUGUACUUUUGCGGCAAAGAAGGUAAAAGAUGACUUAUCGAAGCAAGAGAGCAAGGGAAAUACUUGCUGCCACAGCUAAGUCACAUGAUCCACUGUCAGCACAGUCACCAAUUACAACUAAUGCACAUACUUCAUUUACUACUGAAGUUGUUUCACAACCCACCAAAAAAAAUCUACUAAGUCACCACAGACUGAGGUACUUAAGGAUGACAAAUGGGGCCUUUUUCUCCACCCAUUACCACUACAAAAUCUGACCAGGAACCACCUAAUAGUUUAGGAUCCAUUUGGAAAAAUCCUCCUGGUUCAACAUCGAGUUCAGUCAAAGAAGCUGCUACAUCAGGUUAUUAGAAAAAAUAUCCAACAAAAGUCUCACCUAAUAUCCCACCUAAUAUUCCACAAUCAAGUAGACCAGACUCAUCAUUGAACUCCCUUUCUACUUCUCAUAAAACUCUCGAGCAACCUGUGAGACGAGGAAUUCAGAACCUUAAGACUGGUGCUGUUAAAACUUCAGCAAUAGCUCCACAAACUAAUCAAGAACGACAAAAAAGUGGAAAAGAAUCAGAAAAGAUCCCAAAACAAUCUAAGGCUUUACGACCAAAAGCACUUCCGGAUUGGCCUCUAGACAUAGAUUUUGACGACAAGGAGGAGGUUCUAACCAUAGAUGCCAAUGGUAAUACUACAUUAGUAAGUGGUAUAAUUCUGCCAAUUGACUUUUGGAGUAAUAAUGGCGUCCAAUACUAUGUUGAAUUCAAUGAUCUAUGCCAGCCAAUUAGGAAAGGUGGACAUAUUUUGGUUAAAUUCGUUAGUAUGAUUGCAAAGAUGGAAAGUUGUUGCCCAGUUGGGGAAAAAUAUUGGCAUGCAAUCGACAAUCAUUUCAAAGGGAAGAUAAUUACAGAUAUAAGAGAACACUUUGUGAUUCCUCUUGGUGCAGAAUAUGACAACCAGGCUCUCAAGAGUGCCAAUAAAUGUUGGAGGCAAUACAAAUACUCUCUAAAACAGCAAUAUUACAAGCCAGAACAGAAGACAUUAGAUCAGAUUUGCAAUAAUGUGCCACAUGGAAUUACUAGUAGUAAUUGGGUAAAGUUGGUGAAAUAUUAGGAUUCGGAUAAAGAGAAAGAAUGUCAGAAUGCGGAAAAAAAGCACGAGCCUCCCAAAAUCAGUUUCAUACAUCUGGCUCUAAAAGUUUUGCAAACCGACAAGCUGAUUAUGAAGAUGAACAUGGACAGAAAAUGAGCUUGUUAGAGCUGUGGAUUAAAACCCAUACGGGUAAAGACAGAAGCUUUCUUCCUAGCACGGUCACUGAAGAUUUUGUGGAUGAUGUUAAAGAUAAGGUUGAAGAGUUGAGGAUGAUACACCCUAAGAUGUCUGAACAAGAGCUCGAAGAUGAAGCAUUUCAGCAAACUAUGUAUGGCAAUGAGAUUCCCGAUCGUCCUGUGGGUUACGGAUUAGAGGUUAAAAAGGGGGACAUUUUUGGAGUACAUGGUGUGUUAAGGAAGGGUAUGGAAAAGUUCAAAAGAGGAAUAUUGUGAUGGGUAGUGUUAAAGAAGAAGUGAAUGCUUUGCAUAAAAAAAUGAUACACUAUCCCAAGAAAAUGAAAAGCUAAAAGAUCGGGUCGGACACAACAAUCUUCUUCUUAAAGUGCUUGUUGGACAAUUUUCUCAGAUUUUAGGUGCAGUUCGUCAAGGGAAUGCAUCUCCGGAUCUUUUAAACAAAGCAUCUGAGUUCUUAGGAAAGGAAAAGCAUCAGAUUGGAAAAGGCAAUGUAGGUGCAACAAGAGAAUAAGCCACGACACUUGAGCAUCAAGACAAGCGACUAUAUUAUCUAUAAGGCCAUCAUCGAUAUAUUUUGGUUUUUUAGUCUUAUAUUAGUGAUGUAUUUAUUUAGGGACAAACUACUAUAUAUAAUAUACAACAUUUUUUUUAAUUUUA